rnacentral:lncRNA from 1 species
AGUUUACAAAAUUAUUUUUUAAUUUUUAUUAUUUUUAUAUUUUACAGAGAUGGGGCUCUUGCUGUAUUGCUCAGGCUGGUCUUGAACUUCUGGACUCAAGCAAUCCCCCACCCCAGCCUCCCCAGGUGCUGGGAUUAAAGUCAUUACCACUUGAGCAACAUAAUGAAAGCUAGAUGAAAAAUCUCUUAUGUGAGUGUCUAGAUACUUCAAGGUUGAAAGAAAGAUAAAAAUUGUUUUUUUUCUUAUGUUUAGCAGAAAGAGUUAAUUACAUCUGCUCCUCUCUUCAAUAGAAAGAGAAAACCUCUUUUUCUCUGGAGAGAAGAUGAAAGGAUCGUGGGUUUUCCUAACUUAUUGGAGAGUAAAUACAUGCUGUUAAAGGCCAGAUAAGCCCAAGUGUCUCUGAUUUCUAAAGCCUAGAGAUGUCUCCAAGAUCUCAGGCCUUAUAUUACUGUAAAAUGUAAAUGUAUACAUUUAUAUUAGGUAAAUCUUUUUGGACUUCACUGAAUUCCAACUGUACAACUAUCUGUACAGUU